AUUGAACGCUGGCGGCAUGCCUUACACAUGCAAGUCGAACGGUAACGCGGGGCAACCUGGCGACGAGUGGCGAACGGGUGAGUAAUGCAUCGGAACGUGCCCAGUAGUGGGGGAUAGCCCGGCGAAAGCCGGAUUAAUACCGCAUACGACCUACGGGUGAAAGGGGGGGAUCGCAAGACCUCUCGCUAUUGGAGCGGCCGAUGUCAGAUUAGGUAGUUGGUGGGGUAAAAGCCUACCAAGCCGACGAUCUGUAGCUGGUCUGAGAGGACGACCAGCCACACUGGGACUGAGACACGGCCCAGACUCCUACGGGAGGCAGCAGUGGGGAAUUUUGGACAGUGGGCGCAAGCCUGAUCCAGCCAUGCCGCGUGCGGGAAGAAGGCCUUCGGGUUGUAAACCGCUUUUGUCAGGGAAGAAACGCUCUGGGAUAAUACCCUGGGGUAAUGACGGUACCUGAAGAAUAAGCACCGGCUAACUACGUGCCAGCAGCCGCGGUAACAC
rnacentral:rRNA from 1 species